CUUGUCCGUCCAGCUGUUGUCAGAAUUAAUGAAAACAGGGUUGCUCAAAUGUCAAAAGUAGUAAAAGUAUUGGCAACGCAACGUAUAUCGUAAAAGUGUAGGGGUGUAUUUCAUUCAUGCAGACAUGGGAAUGUGUAUUUUUUUUUGUAGUAAAAAAAUUAAAAAUAAUUGAAUGAAAAUACUAUUGCUAAAAAUUAUGAGCUCCUAGUACACAAGGCGGUAGAAAUGCAUGGAAAAGAGGGAAAGCGCCUUGAUUGGGGGAGUUUAAGCUUGAAUUACUUAUUUGGCCGUGCAAAUAAGUAAGAAAAGUCCGCCAAGUAGGAAAAAUCCGCCAAAUAUAAAAAUAAAUAGAAACGAAAUUAAUUAUAUAUAUGUAGUUAAUUAUAUGUAGUAAUAAAAAUAGCGCGGUUUACAUGAUCGGCGGACAGAAAAAGGCUACGACAUGAUGAGUAGGGGAAAUAUGUAAAUAAAUACCUUAUGUAGCAGAAUUUUAGGAGAAUGAAAUUUGCGGGAAAUUAUAUUUACAUAAAAGUAGGGGAAGACAAAAAUAGAGUAUUUAAGCUCACGAUAAAAAUGAAAAUAGCACAGUUGGUUAAAAAAAGUUAAGUGAGUGUGCAAAAGUGUUUUAAGAAAAAGUAAAUUUAAAAAAGUUUAAAAAAAAAAAAGGAAGAAAGUUUUUUUUUGAAAAUAAGGAAAAAGAAAUGGACUGUAGUCUGAGAUUUAGUGAAUUAUAAAUCGGUAAAUUUAAUGUCCUUAAAAUAAUCCUGGAGGAUCAAAUAAUUAUAAACGUAUUUGAACGACAAUAAUAAAAACCUGGCUAAUUUACAAGAAGGAAGUCACGCAAUACUGGAAAGUCUGCCAUCCAAGUAAUUAGCCAGGUAACAAUUUUUAUUUAUUCCUUUUAAAUAAUUUGCGGAAUAAGGCAGUAAAGUCAAGAAAACUGCAAUAACAAAAAAAAAAAAAAAAAAA